UACGUAGGGUGCGAGCGUUGUCCGGAAUUAUUGGGCGUAAAGCGCUUGUAGGCGGUCUGUCGCGUCUGCUGUGAAAAUCCGGGGCUCAACCCCGGACUUGCAGUGGGUACGGGCAGACUAGAGUGUGGUAGGGGAGACUGGAAUUCCUGGUGUAGCGGUGAAAUGCGCAGAUAUCAGGAGGAACACCGAUGGCGAAGGCAGGUCCCUGGGCCGCUACUGACGCUGAGAAGCGAAAGCAUGGGGAGCGAACAGG
rnacentral:rRNA from 1 species